rnacentral:rRNA from 1 species
CGGUUGAUCCUGCCGGACCCGACUGCUAUUUGGGUGAGGAUAAGCCAUGCAAGUCGAAUGGGAAACCUAAAUUUCCCAUGGCAAACUGCUCAGUAACACAUGAUCAACUUACCCUAUAGAGAAAAAUAACCUCGGGAAACUGAGGAUAAUUUUUCAUAGUUGAAUAGGCUUGGAAAAGUUAUUCAAUAAAAAGGAUAAAAAAAAUGGUUUUUAUCUGCUAUAGGAUAGGAUCGUGUUCGAUUAUGGUUGUUGGUGAGGUAACGGCUCACCAAGCCGAUAAUCGAUAGGGGCCGUGAGAGCGGGAGCCCCGAGAUGGGUACUGAGACAACGACCCAGGCCUUACGAGGCGCAGCAGGCGCGGAACCUCCGCAAUACACGAAAGUGUGACGGGGUUACCCAAAGUGUUCAGUUUUGAACUGUGGUAGGUGAGUAAUGUCCCCUACUAGAAAGGAGAGGGCAAGGCUGGUGCCAGCCGCCGCGGUAAAACCAGCUCUUCAAGUGGUCGGGAUAAUUAUUGGGCUUAAAGUGUCCGUAGCCGGUUUAGUAAGUUCCUGGUAAAAUCAGGUAGCUUAACUAUCUGUAUGCUAGGAAUACUACUAUACUAGAGGGCGGGAGAAGUCUGAGGUACUACAGGGGUAGGGGUGAAAUCUUAUAAUCCUUGUAGGACCACCAGUGGCGAAGGCGUCAGACUGGAACGCGCCUGACGGUGAGGGACGAAAGCCAGGGGAGCGAACCGGAUUAGAUACCCGGGUAGUCCUGGCCGUAAACGAUGCAUACUAGGUGAUGGCACGGCCAUGAGCCGUGUCAGUGCCGUAGGGAAACCGUUAAGUGUGCCGCCUGGGAAGUACGGCCGCAAGGCUAAAACUUAAAGGAAUUGGCGGGGGAGCAC